rnacentral:rRNA from 1 species
UAGUCCACGCCGUAAACGAUGAUAACUAGCUGUCGGGUUUCCUAAUAGACUCGGUGACGUAGCUAACGCAUUAAGUAUCCCGCCUGGGGAGUACGGUCGCAAGAUUAAAACUCAAAGGAAUUGACGGGGGCCCGCACAAGCGGUGGAGCAUGUGGUUUAAUUCGAUGCUACGCGAAAAACCUUACCUGGACUUGACAUCCCGGGCUACCCUAGGAAACUAGGGGUUCUCUUCGGAGACCCGGUGACAGGUGCCGCAUGGCUGUCGUCAGCUCGUGUUGUGAGAUGUUGGGUUAAGUCCCGCAACGAGCGCAACCCUCGUCGUUAGUUACCAUCAUUAAGUUGGGCACUCUAACGAGACCGCUAGGCUAUAAGCCAGAGGAAGGUGGGGAUGACGUCAAGUCCUCAUGGCCUUUAUGUCCAGGGCUACACACGUGCUACAAUGGAAAGUACAAUACGCUGCUACUUCGCGAGGAGAUGCUAAUCGUAAAAAACUUUUCUCAGUUCGGAUUGGAGUCUGCAACUCGACUCC